rnacentral:rRNA from 1 species
UUUCCCCRKUCCCNNCNGUUGUAAAACGACGGCCAGUGAAUUCGAGCUCGGUACCUCGCGAAUGCAUCUAGAUUCCUACGGGAGGCAGCAGUGGGGAAUAUUGGACAAUGGGGGGAACCCUGAUCCAGCCAUGCCGCGUGUGUGAAGAAGGCCUUUUGGUUGUAAAGCACUUUAAGCGAGGAGGAGGCUACCGAGAUUAAUACUCUUGGAUAGUGGACGUUACUCGCAGAAUAAGUACCGGCUAACUCUGUGCCAGCAGCCGCGGUAAUACAGAGGGUGCAAGCGUUAAUCGGAUUUACUGGGCGUAAAGCGCGCGUAGGUGGCCAAUUAAGUCAAAUGUGAAAUCCCCGAGCUUAACUUGGGAAUUGCAUUCGAUACUGGUUGGCUAGAGUAUGGGAGAGGAUGGUAGAAUUCCAGGUGUAGCGGUGAAAUGCGUAGAGAUCUGGAGGAAUACCGAUGGCGAAGGCAGCCAUCUGGCCUAAUACUGACACUGAGGUGCGAAAGCAUGGGGAGCAAACAGGAUUAGAUACCCUGGUAGUCCAUGCCGUAAACGAUGUCUACUAGCCGUUGGGGCCUUUGAGGCUUUAGUGGCGCAGCUAACGCGAUAAGUAGACCGCCUGGGAGUACGUCGC